AGAGUUUGAUCCUGGCUCAGAUUAGAACGCUGGCGGUAUGCUUAACACAUGCAAGUCGAACGGUAGCAGGCCUUCGGGCGCUGACGAGUGGCGGACGGGUGAGUAACGCGUAGGAAUCUGCCUUAUAGUGGGGGACAACGUGGGGAAACCCACGCUAAUACCGCAUACGCCCUACGGGGGAAAGGAGGGGCUCUUCGGACCUUUCGCUAUGAGAUGAGCCUGCGUUAGAUUAGCUAGUUGGUAGGGUAAAGGCCUACCAAGGCGACGAUCUAUAGCUGGUCUGAGAGGACGAUCAGCCACACUGGGACUGAGACACGGCCCAGACUCCUACGGGAGGCAGCAGUGGGGAAUAUUGGACAAUGGGCGCAAGCCUGAUCCAGCAAUACCGCGUGUGUGAAGAAGGCCCUAGGGUUGUAAAGCACUUUCAAUGGGGAGGAAAACCUGCCGGCCAAUACCCGGUAGCUUGACAUUACCCAUAGAAGAAGCACCGGCUAACUCCGUGCCAGCAGCCGCGGUAAUACGGAGGGUGCGAGCGUUAAUCGGAAUUACUGGGCGUAAAGCGUGCGUAGGCGGUCCGUUAAGUCAGAUGUGAAAGCCCUGGGCUCAACCUGGGAACUGCAUUUGAAACUGGCGGACUAGAGUUUAGUAGAGGGGAGUGGAAUUUCAGGUGUAGCGGUGAAAUGCGUAGAUAUCUGAAGGAACACCAGUGGCGAAGGCGACUCCCUGGACUAAAACUGACGCUGAGGUACGAAAGCGUGGGUAGCAAACAGGAUUAGAUACCCUGGUAGUCCACGCCGUAAACGAUGUCGACUAGCCGUUGGUCCUAUAUACAGGAUUAGUGGCGCAGCUAACGCAUUAAGUCGACCGCCUGGGGAGUACGGCCGCAAGGUUAAAACUCAAAUGAAUUGACGGGGGCCCGCA
rnacentral:rRNA from 1 species